rnacentral:rRNA from 1 species
AAUCCAUAGGUUAAUGAGGCGAACCGGGGGAACUGAAACAUCUAAGUACCCCGAGGAAAAGAAAUCAACCGAGAUUCCCCCAGUAGCGGCGAGCGAACGGGGAGGAGCCCAGAGCCUGAAUCAGCAUGUGUGUUAGUGGAAGCGUCUGGAAAGGCGCGCGAUACAGGGUGACAGCCCCGUACACAAAAGCGCAUGUGCUGUGAGCUCGAUGAGUAGGGCGGGACACGUGGUAUCCUGUCUGAAUAUGGGGGGACCAUCCUCCAAGGCUAAAUACUCCUGACUGACCGAUAGUGAACCAGUACCGUGAGGGAAAGGCGAAAAGAACCCCGGCGAGGGGAGUGAAAAAGAACCUGAAACCGUGUACGUACAAGCAGUGGGAGCACCCUUCGGGGUGUGACUGCGUACCUUUUGUAUAAUGGGUCAGCGACUUAUAUUCUGUAGCAAGGUUAACCGAAUAGGGGAGCCGGAGGGAAACCGAGUCUUAAUUGGGCGUUAAGUUGCAGGGUAUAGACCCGAAACCCGGUGAUCUAGCCAUGGGCAGGUUGAAGGUUGGGUAACACUAACUGGAGGACCGAACCGACUAAUGUUGAAAAAUUAGCGGAUGACCUGUGGCUGGGGGUGAAAGGCCAAUCAAACCGGGAGAUAGCUGGUUCUCCCCGAAAGCUAUUUAGGUAGCGCCUCGUGAA